CUGCUUCUCUCUCUCAGGACUUGUCCCAGCUUCUCUCAGGAUCUCACUUUUAAACUUUAUUUAAAAAACAAAACAAAGCUUUUCUUCCUCGCGGAGCUCUGAGCUGCAGCGCGUGCACAGCCUGGCCCAGCACGUGUGGAAUAAAUACGGUCUCGUGGAUAUUUCCGCACGACUUUCGGGAUCUUCCUCCUCCUCCUCUUCCUCACUGUUGACGUUUCCAUGGAGACCCUGGCCCCCAUUUGGACGACCUGUGACCUCGGAGAGAAGUCGUCAGUUUGGGAGCCUCGCUGUGGUUUCCCCCCUGCUGUGAUGGUCUCUGAGCCGCUCCCCCCUCACCUCCCCCCUGCUGU